GACGGGUGAGUAAUGCCUAGGAAAUUGCCCUGAUGUGGGGGAUAACCAUUGGAAACGAUGGCUAAUACCGCAUGAUGCCUUCGGGCCAAAGAGGGGGACCUUCGGGCCUCUCGCGUCAGGAUAUGCCUAGGUGGGAUUAGCUAGUUGGUGAGGUAAGGGCUCACCAAGGCGACGAUCCCUAGCUGGUCUGAGAGGAUGAUCAGCCACACUGGAACUGAGACACGGUCCAGACUCCUACGGGAGGCAGCAGUGGGGAAUAUUGCACAAUGGGCGCAAGCCUGAUGCAGCCAUGCCGCGUGUGUGAAGAAGGCCUUCGGGUUGUAAAGCACUUUCAGUCGUGAGGAAGGUGGUGUAGUUAAUAGCUGCAUCAUUUGACGUUAGCGACAGAAGAAGCACCGGCUAACUCCGUGCCAGCAGCCGCGGUAAUACGGAGGGUGCGAGCGUUAAUCGGGAAUUACUGGGCGUAAAGCGCAUGCAGGUGGUUUGUUAAGUCAGAUGUGAAAGCCCGGGGCUCAACCUCGGAAUAGCAUUUGAAACUGGCAGACUAGAGUACUGUAGAGGGGGGUAGAAUUUCAGGUGUAGCGGUGAAAUGCGUAGAGAUCUGAAGGAAUACCGGUGGC
rnacentral:rRNA from 1 species